AAAUAAAUACACAUUUAUUCAUCACCGAUGUUUUAUUAUAUUCAUCGCUUUAUACAUAGUGUGAAAAUAAUAACACACGGUUUUUGGAGCUAACGAAGAAAGAAACAACUUUAAACCACAUGCAUAGGAGUCAAAAUUAUUUUACUUACAAAAUAAAAUCAUAUAUGACAAGCCACCUGACAACAUGAGAUCUAUAGUGAUAAUUUUUGUUUCAGUAGUUAUAGCUUCGAGAGUAUCGUCUGUUCCACUGGAUUGUUUCGAGGAGCAUAAGGAAUGCAACAAAAAUUACGUUCAAGAGGCACAUAAAAUUAACAGUACACAGGCUGACAAAUGCAAAGCUUUUGGUAGAUAUAAAAAUUGUUUAUUAGUAACAGAAUGUUAUUAUGGUCAGUACAAGGCAAACUCAGACAUGGCUUAUGUUUUAUGCAGUAGCAAGGGUGGAUCUUCUGUGGUGGUUUACAGCGAAAUAUUUUUAUUUAUUAGUAUGCUGUUGGUCAUAUGGCAAAGAUACGUGCUUCCAUUUUAUUAAAACAUUUAAGGAAUCUUUAUUUAUCUGUUGGGUCACUUCAAGUUUUGCGAUGAACACUGUUAGUGUAGAGUUAUUUAAACAGUACAGAUUGUGCAUAUACAUGUACAUUCACAGAUAUUUAACAAUAAACUAUGGAAGAACAAUAAAAAAAAUUGGCGUCGUUU